rnacentral:rRNA from 1 species
GCCAGACUCCUACGGGAGGCAGCAGUGGGGCCUCUUGCACAAUGGGGGCCCCCCUGAUGCAGCGCCGCCGCGUGCGCGCUGAAGUAUUUCGGUAUGUAAAGCUCUCUCAGCAGGGACGAACAUGACGGUCCCUGACUAAGAAGCCACGGCUAACUACGUACCAGCAGCCGCGGUAAUACGUAGGUGGCAAGCGUUAUCCGGAUUUAUUGGGUGUAAAGGGCGUGUAGGCGGGAGCGCAAGUCAGAUGUGAAAACUCAGGGCUCAACCCUGAGCCUGCAUUUGAAACUGUGUUUCUUGAGUGCUGGAGAGGCAAUCGGAAUUCCGUGUGUAGCGGUGAAAUGCGUAGAUAUACGGAGGAACACCAGUGGCGAAGGCGGAUUGCUGGACAGUAACUGACGCUGAGGCGCGAACGCGUGGGGAGCACACAGGAUUAGAUACCCUCGUAA